AUUGAACGCUGGCGGCAGGCCUAACACAUGCAAGUCGAGCGGAGCGGCGGACGGGUGAGUAAUGCCUAGGAAUCGGCCUGGUCGUGGGGGAUAACGACCGGAAACGGGCGGUAAUACCGCACACUAUCAGAUGAGCCUAGGUCGGAUUGGCUAGUUGGUGGGGUAAAGGCCUACAAAGGCGACGAACCGUACCUGGUCUGAGAGGAUGAUCAGUCACACUGGGACUGAGACACGGUCCAGACUCCUACGGGAGGCAGCAGUGGGGAAUAUUGGACAAUGGGCGAAAGCCUGAUGCAGCCAUGCCGCGUGUGUGAAGAAGGUCUUCGGGUUGUAAAGCACUUUAAGUUGGGAGGCGUUACCAACAGAAUAAGCACCGGCUAACUUCGUGCCAGCAGCCGCGGUAAUUC
rnacentral:rRNA from 1 species